rnacentral:rRNA from 1 species
UACGGGGGGGGCAAGCGUUGUUCGGAAUUACUGGGCGUAAAGGGCUCGUAGGCGGCCAACUAAGUCCGACGUGAAAUCCCCAGGCUUAACCUGGGAACUGCGUCUGAUACUGGAUGGCUUGAGUUCGGGAGAGGGAUGCGGAAUUCCUGGUGUAGCGGUGAAAUGCGCAGAUAUCAGGAGGAACACCGUGGCGAAGGCAGCUGCUGGGACGGUACUGACGCUGAGGCGACGAAGACGUGGGGAGCAAACAGG